rnacentral:rRNA from 1 species
GACGAACGCUGGCGGCGUGCCUAAUACAUGCAAGUUGAGCGCUGAAGGUUGGUCCUUGUACCAACUGGAUGAGCAGCGAACGGGUGAGUAACGCGUGGGGAAUCUGCCUUUGAGCGGGGGACAACAUUUGGAAACGAAUGCUAAUACCGCAUAAAAACUUUAAACACAAGUUUUAAGUUUGAAAGAUGCAAUUGCAUCACUCAAAGAUGAUCCCGCGUUGUAUUAGCUAGUUGGUGAGGUAAAGGCUCACCAAGGCGAUGAUACAUAGCCGACCUGAGAGGGUGCUCGGCCACAUUGGGACUGAGACACGGCCCAAACUCCUCCGGGAGGCAGCAGUAGGGAAUCUUCGGCAAUGGACGAAAGUCUGACCGAGCAACGCCGCGUGAGUGAAGAAGGUUUUCGGAUCGUAAAACUCUGUUGGUAGAGAAGAACGUUGGUGAGAGUGGAAAGCUCAUCAAGUGACGGUAACUACCCAGAAAGGGACGGCUAACUACGUG